GCCGCGUUGGCCUAAUGGUAAGGCGUCUCUUUCCUAGUGUGGACGAAGGAGAAGAUUGUGGGUUCGAUCCCCAUACGUGGUA
rfam:Sphaerobolus stellatus SS14 unplaced genomic scaffold SPHSTscaffold_13, whole genome shotgun sequence.